GACGUAGGGUGCGAGCGUUGUCCGGAUUUAUUGGGCGUAAAGAGCUCGUAGGCGGCUCGUCGCGUCGACCGUGAAAACCCGCAGCUUAACUGCGGGCUUGCGGUUGAUACGGGCGGGCUAGAGUUCGGUAGGGGAGACUGGAAUUCCCGGUGUAGCGGUGGAAUGCGUAGAGAUCGGGAAGAAUACCGGUGGCGAAGGCGUUCUGCUGGGCCGUUGCUGACACUGAGGCGCGACAGCGUGGGGAGCAAACAGG
rnacentral:rRNA from 1 species